CAGUCGAGUCAUCGUCUAUUUUUUAGUAUGGUACAUUUCCUUCUAGAGAGUACCUAUCGGUGGUUUUCCAUGGUCUGUCUAGGAGGUAACACAUAAGUUUGUUUAGCAAUUUCAGAGUUGAUACCAACACUUCUUUCCAAUGCACUUACAUCAAGAAAAUCCGUUGGACAAUGGGCAAGUACUAAAUGAGCGUGAGGCGUGAAGGGGAUGGACUUCAGUGGUGCAUGAUGCACUUGCAUCAAGUUAUUUUGGGCCGGUGUCUCCCACCUGUUCGAUCUUGGCGACGUCUCUGAGCCCACGUCUCGACGCUCCUGGCCUACUUCUGUCACAUCACUGCGGUUACACCCAGAGCUGGUAAAUCAAACCAGCCAUGGUCUUCACAGCUGAUCAUCUCUAUUUGAGGAAUAUGGUUGGGUUGAUUACAGAGAAAAAAUACUUCAUCAGAUAAAGUUACGUCCAUGGUAACAUACAUAUGUCGUGUUGGUGGAUGGUAACAUUGAUACCAUUUUUGUUCGGGACUAAUGCCAAGAAAAACAAACUGCAUUGCACAUGGGUCAAGUUUGCUUCGUUAAAUUUAUGGAGGUAAAUAUAGGCUACGCAGCAAAAAAAUUUGGGUUCUAAGUUUAGGGAUGAAGACAGCGUGACAUGACUGAAUAGCCUUCACCUUGCUAUUAUUACUACUUCAAACUUGAUUAACACGGUCGGGGGCUACAUUAUCCACAUAGUAAAACCCCAUCCUUUUAGUACCACGCCUAAUGAUCACCUGAGUUCGAAUAUCUUGAAGCAAUAAAAAAGGGAACAUUAGCACAACACAAUCUAACUACUCGAUGACUUGACCACUGACAAUAAAUUAUUCAAGAGUGCGGGAACAAGUAUAUAGUUGUGCCUUAGAACCCAAUCAAGUAAGUGGAACAACACCCCAAUUAGUUGUGACAGUACUGUCCCAUGGUGAGGAUGUUAUAGAUUUAAUGAGGAUUUGGUCAUAGGUCAUAAGGUUUCUGGCACCCGAAUCAAUGAUCCAACCCAUAUCAGAAGUGGUCAUAUUACCUGCAUCUUCAAAAAGAAUUAUUUGAAGAGAUCAUGUUGAGAAGUGAAAGUGUUUGCACUCAAAAUAUACCCAUUUUUACUUAUUUGGGCAAUUUGGGUAAAAUAUGGCAUUUGGAGGAUUAAUGAGCAAGAAGACUAACUUUGAAGAUAUUUAGCUAUUAAGUGGAGGGGUUUAACACUAUAAUAUUGUUUCACCCAUUUGUUUGGGUGGUGGAAGUUUGUCAAGCCUUUGUUUAAUCAACAAAUUGCAUGCUUGCAAAAGGGUUGGAAGGCAACAUACGGAUGUGGAUGCAAAGAACAUGUGAAAGAAGCCAACUUGCUUAUUUUAAAUGUUAGUUUAUUACAAGUGGGAAAACAUGUGAUGAAAGCAUGUGGUGGAAAUGCAAGUUCCCUUUUUAAUAUUAUUUCUCCAUACAAGUUGGCAAGUGAAAUGCAAGCUGCCCAAGCUUCUUUCGAGCAAGUGUAAUGUCCUCAGCAAAGGGGCUCUUCCAGAUCUCUAUAUAAAGAAGCAGAUGGAGAAGGAUUAUAGACACUCAAAACAACCAAUCAAAACUCUACUCAAAUUAGCUCAUCAGCUUCCUUGUAGACAAUUAUUUUUAGCCAAGCAUCAUUUGCCUUUCUUGUUUAUUAGCUAUGCUACUCACUUGUAGUAUCGAUCUUAUUUUUAGCUUUUAUGUACAACCCUCUUUCAGUCAUUUAAUCUACAAGCAAUCUGCAAUAUUAGUCACUUUCCUCUGUCAUUUAUAUUUCCAAGUAACCUUGUCAUUUACAUAUUGUUCUAUUUCUCCAUAUAAGUAAAGUCCUUAUUUUUAAGGCAAACAAAGAACUUUAAUUUGAGUAACUCCCACUCAAUGGCACAAUCUCUUGGUUCGAAGUCAAACUCAGGCGCAACCUCAAUCAUUCAAAUCCCGUCUACUAGCGGCAUCUAGUAGUGGUACUCCCGCACCCCACCAAUCUCGUAUGUGAGCAAAUCCCAGGCAUGCCCGCAAGGCCCAUGACGGAUUUAGGGAGCGAACAGAAAGUAGUGUAGUUAAAUCAUCUCGAUGCACAUCUUGCUCCGGUCCCGCUAAUGGAGUUCGGACAUCACUCUAGCUUGGUGAGUUAGGUCAACAUCGAGCCCAACAUGGCUAGCAGCUACGACAACAACUCCUGACCCAAUUUUUGCGAGUUUGGCUUAUGCUGGACGUUUGUGAGCCUUUCCCUUGUUUUUCUUUCUUCUCUUCAUGAACUAAUCUAGAUAACCAUGGAUUUCGAAGCAUGUUUCUUUCGUGUGACGAAUUCCAUUGCAGUGGCUGCACCAAAGCUUAUCAUUUUCAACUUCAUCCAAAUCCUCAAAGAAUGCAGAGGUCCUGUUGAGGGAGACUUAUUGACCAUGGUCAUAGAAGAACUACUGUCAGCAUUUUUACCGCCAAGAAUAGUAGUUUUUCAUCGUGCUUUACGCUAAACGGUGUUGAAGCACUAUUCUAUUACUAGGACCAGCUUCAUAGGGAGAAGGUUGCUCUGAAUUGGAUCGAACACAUCAUCAAGUCCUACGAAAAAAUCAUACACCCGAUCUUUUUUAAGUUCGUCUUUCGGGGUCUUCAAAUCAGCAGCAUACACCAUCUUAUUUGGACGCCGUUUAUCCAUCUCCUACGACACGUUUUUCAACUCCACUAAAUAAAUGAUUUACUGGACACCUACUUUGCUUUGUCCUCGUUGUCUUGUAUCAAAACUUGUAAUAUUGAGAUUGAUCAACCCCGUCAUAAAACAUUUGGGUGACAUUAUUCCAAAUGUUCUUGGUUGUUUGCAAUUUGAUGAACAUCCCAAGAAUAU
rnacentral:lncRNA from 1 species